rnacentral:rRNA from 1 species
CAGAAACUCAAAGGAAUUGACGGGGGCCCGCACAAGCGGAGGAGCAUGUGGUUUAAUUCGAUGAUACGCGAGGAACCUUACCUGGGCUCGAACGUAAGAUGACUGUAGGUGAAAGCUUACAUCUCUUCGGAGCAUUUUACGAGGUGCUGCAUGGUUGUCGUCAGCUCGUGCCGUGAGGUGUCGGGUUAAGUCCCAUAACGAGCGCAACCCUACCUUUAGUUGCCAUCAGGUAAUGCUGGGGACUCUAAAGGAACUGCCUACGCAAGUAGUGAGGAAGGCGGGGAUGACGUCAAAUCUGCACGGCCCUUACGUCCAGGGCUACACACGUGCUACAAUGGCCGAUACAGAGGGCAGCUACCUGGUGACAGGAUGCAAAUCUCCAAAGUCGGUCUCAGUUCGGAUCGGAGUCUGCAACCCGACUCCGUGAAGUUGGAUUCGCUAGUAAUCGCGCAUCAGCCAUGGCGCGGUGAAUACGUUCCCGGGCCUU